AACGAACGCUGGCGGCAGGCCUAACACAUGCAAGUCGAACGAGAAGCCACCUUCGGGUGGUGGACAGUGGCAGACGGGUGAGUAACGCGUGGGAACGUGCCUUUCGGUUCGGGAUAACCCAGGGAAACUUGGGCUAAUACCGGAUACGCCCUCCGGGGGAAAGAUUCAUCGCCGAAAGAUCGGCCCGCGUCGGAUUAGCUAGUUGGUAGGGUAAUGGCCGACCAAGGCGACGAUCCGUAGCUGGUCUGAGAGGAUGACCAGCCACACUGGGACUGAGACACGGCCCAGACUCCUACGGGAGGCAGCAGUGGGGAAUAUUGGACAAUGGCGAAAGCCUGAUCCAGCCAUGCCGCGUGGGUGAAGAAGGCCUUAGGGUUGUAAACCCCUUUCAGCGGGGAAGAUAAUGACGGUACCCGCAGAAGAAGUCCCGGCUAACUCCGUGCCAGCCGCCGCGGUAA
rnacentral:rRNA from 1 species